CGCCGCCUCCGCCCCGCCCCUUCCCGCCGGAGCGGGCGGGAGCGGGGCCUCUCCGCGGGCUGCGGCCUUCUCCCGACACUUCUAUUAACCUGUUUUGGUGCUUGUAGAAAGUAAGGAACUGUCUAACAUUCUGGAAAUCAGCAAAGUUGCUCAAGGAUUUAAGGUCAUCUCCUGUGUGGUGAUAAGGGCUUCUGGCUGUUGCUAUUGCUGUACAGGGCAGCUCUGACUCUGAGCAGGAAAGUCUAGGCAAGAUAGAGGAUGUGAUGGCCUUUGAGCUCUUCCCCCCCCACCGCCCCGAG
rnacentral:lncRNA from 1 species